CUAAGUUCCUUGGAACAGGACGUCAUAGAGGGUGAGAAUCCCGUACGUGACCGGCCGUCAACCCCAUGUGAGGCUCCUUCGACGAGUCNAGUUGUUUGGGAAUGCAGCUCUAAAUGGGUGGUAAAUUUCAUCUAAAGCUAAAUACCGGCCAGAGACCGAUAGCGCACAAGUAGAGUGAUCGAAAGAUGAAAAGCACUUUGAAAAGAGAGUUAAAAAGUACGUGAAAUUGUUGAAAGGGAAGCGCUUGCAACCAGACUUGCUCACCGGCGAUCUCCCGUCCUUCGGGGCGGGGCCACCGCCUUGCGUAGGCCAGUAUCGGUUUUGGCAGUCGGACAAAAGCUCUAGGAACGUAGCUCCUCUCGGGGAGUGUUAUAGCCCGGGGUAUAAUGCGAUUAGCUGGGACCGAGGACCGCGCUUCGGCUAGGAUACUGGCGUAAUGGUUGUAAGCGACCCGUCUUGAAACACGGACCAAGGAGUCUAACAUCUAUGCGAGUGUUUGGGUGUCAAACCCAUACGCGUAAUAAAAGUGAACGGAGGUGGGAACCUUAGGGGGCACCAUCGACCGAUCCUGAUGUCUUCGGAUGGAUUUGAGUACGAGCAUAGCUGUUGGGACCCGAAAGAUGGUGAACUAUGCCUGAAUAGGGUGAAGCCAGAGGAAACUCUGGUGGAGGCUCGCAGCGGUUCUGACGUGCAAAUCGAUCGUCAAAUUUGGGUAUAGGGGCGAAAGACUAAUCGAACCAUCUAGUAGGGCAGUUACUAGAAACACGUUAGAGGUU
rnacentral:rRNA from 1 species